UGGGGAAUUUUGGACAAUGGGCGAAAGCCUGAUCCAGCAAUGCCGCGUGCAGGAUGAAGGCCUUCGGGUUGUAAACUGCUUUUGUACGGAACGAAAAAGCUCCUUCUAAUACAGGGGGCCCAUGACGGUACCGUAAGAAUAAGCACCGGCUAACUACGUGCCAGCAGCCGCGGUAAUACGUAGGGUGCAAGCGUUAAUCGGAAUUACUGGGCGUAAAGCGUGCGCAGGCGGUUAUGUAAGACAGAUGUGAAAUCCCCGGGCUCAACCUGGGAACUGCAUUUGUGACUGCAUGGCUAGAGUACGGUAGAGGGGGAUGGAAUUCCGCGUGUAGCAGUGAAAUGCGUAGAUAUGCGGAGGAACACCGAUGGCGAAGGCAAUCCCCUGGACCUGUACUGACGCUCAUGCACGAAAGCGUGGGGAGCAAACA
rnacentral:rRNA from 1 species